CCCUAUGGGGUGCAGCGGCCAUAAAGGCAUUUUAUUCUGGGGCACGAGCGAUCAUGUGACUCCCUUUGCCCAUCACCGCUUCGUGCAGAGCGCCAUUCCUCACAUUGUUUUUCAUCCUUUCACUGGGGAAGGCCACACGCUGAAUUAUGAGCAUCCGGAAAUAGUCAAUCCGCUGCUGAUCGAUUUUUUACAGGCAUGAUGUUUUUUAUCACGCGCCUCUCCAAAUAGCGCGGUGACAAUAGAAUACCCUGCAUUCCACUAUGAGUGAAAUGCAGGGUGAUUUUUUUGUCGUCAACCGCGCGGGGCGGCGAAGUUAUUUUUGUCCGCCCGCGGCAGCAGGAUUGCUGUCAAGUUGGACGGUGUUGGGGCUUCCCGCGACGAUGUCCAGCAGUUCCACGUCGAAAAUGAGCACGGAAUUGGCGGGGGAGC
rnacentral:rRNA from 1 species